UCUAUCUCCUUUUUGACUGAUGAACAUGUCUGUUCAUGUGUGCUAUAAAACCACUAUCUUCCUAUAACAACUGAUGGCGCUUUAACAAACACUGACAACAAUGAUAAAUCAAUGUUCAGCAUUUCUGUUAUUUAUAACAGCAACAUUGCUUUGUGGGAUAUUGAAGGGAAUGGAUUCUAUUGAGGGAAACUGUAAUGAUGUUAUCAGACUUCCAUGUAAAGCUAUUGAUCAAACAAACAAAUACCGCUACAGCAUGUGGUACAAAGUAAUCACAAAAGUGUGCAAUCGAGUCAUAUUUAGAAGAACACAAAGAAAACAGGAAGUAAGGGGAUUCGAGACAAGAAGCGGAACAAAGUCGAGCUGGAAAAAAUGAGAUUCACAAGAAGCUGAUGGGGCUUUGGCUUGCCUGUUCUAUUAACCAAGAUAAAAUAUUGAAAUCAUGGCUGGUGUGAGAGAAAGUCGUGGGAGUCAUAAGACAUUCACUGUGACGUUUGCUUUUUUGCUUUUAGAUUGUUCUCUACAUUUUACAAUUUAAUUCAUUUUAAACUAUUUAAAUGUAUUUCUAUAGCAGUUUGCAUUUUUCAUUUUGUAUUGUAGAAAAUCAGUGUUACCGUAUAUAUGUACAGAGUGAGAAGAGCAAAUUACAAAGGGUAAUUUUUUUAUAAAGUUUACCAAAGAAUUAUUAAUAGACACAAAAUAGAGAAGGGUCUAUUAUAGUUGGACUGUUAUGGAAAGCAUGACAUCUUAAACCUAAUCAGCAGUGUUCCAGUGUGCAAGCCAAGGGCAUCACUGGCAAGAAACCAAAACUCCAAUUGUUGUAAGUGGAGAACAAACUUUGGGAGACUCAACAGGGAGAGCCAGUUCACAUUUGGCACUAGAUUUACAAUAAGACUGCAUUUUGUUAACUAGUUUUUCUGCAUUUAUUAAUCUUUGCAAAUAUUAGGUACUGUAAUGCCAGUACAAUUGUUCAUGUUAGUUCAUUGUUCAUUAAAUAAUGUUAACAAGUCAAGUCAACUUUAUUUAUAUAGCGCUUUUUACAAUUUUCAUUGUUACAAAGCAGCUGUACAUAAAACAUAUUGACUAUAAGCAAAACAUUUAAAGCACACAUUUAAAGCAGCCCUAACACACACGGUUUCUGCCAAUCUCAUAUCAUGUCCGGCAUCUUUUAGCGCUGCAUCAGUUGCAGCGCUAAAAGCUCCAUCAGUUUCAAACGAUCUCCAAAUCCAGCGUUAUAUCCACCGUUUAUAUAACAUUCAUCACCCAAAUGCAGUGAACAAACAAACACCUGAACUUCGCGAAUGUAUGCUUUCUCUCUCUCAGGCACACAAGUGAAAGUGACGUCUGCGCAUGCUCCUUCUCCUGCUCUCCUUGCUGCAGCGUGGGCUCGCCGCGUGCUUUUCCGGGAGAAUCGUCCAAUAACGGACUAAGAAAAAUUGUUACCAAACAGUUUCAUUUAAAAAAAAAAACUUUCUGAAACCUGUACGAUCGCUGGGGGAGUGUAUUGAGCACAGAAAUACUACGUAAUAUGCCAAACUUGUUUUUUGUCAAGUUGACCAUGUUAAGCAUGAGAAGACAGCACGUUUAACAUUGUAAAGAAGUCAAAAUGCAUGACACACCGUUGCACCACCCCUUUAAGAUAAGGGAGAGAGAAACACAGUUCAAAUAUUAAACAGACUGUAAAUUCCUAUAUGUAAUAUUAAUUAAGUAAAACUUUUAAAUAAAUAAAUAAAGCAGCCCCCCCUGCUAGGCAAACAGUGGCGAGGAACCCAAAACUCCAAUGGAGAAAAAAAAACUCAGGAGAACCCAGACCCAACCAGUUCCCCUCUGACAAAAGCUGCAGCCUCCGCAGAAGCUUGACAGUGCUUGCACAACUAGGCUAAAUAAAAAAAUAAAAAUAAACUUAGCAAUAAGGUAAAUUACAGAUUUAAGAUUAUCAUUAAUGAUCUAGUAGCAGUUGAAUUUUUGUAGCGAAGACGUGUCAAAUCGCUGCGUCCUUCUUUAUCCAGCUCUAUCAUCUCAGCUCUUGUCAAAUCGCUGCUUUCCAUUCGCCGCUCUACCAUCAGGUCUGGGUAUGAACUGCAUCCUGCUCGCUGUGGUAACCUCAGAAGAAUGAGACAAGACAGCUGAGAGUAGAGUACUGUUCUGCACUCUUUGAUGCAACAAGUACAUCAUUUGUUUUUGGAAGUGUUCCUGGUUCCAGUUGAUCUAACUAUUGCAGCCUAAACCCUCAGAAGAUUUACACUAUAUUAUGGAAGUGUAGUGUAUGCAAGAGUAAAAAGAUGCGUCUUUAGUCUAGAUUUAAACUGACAGAGUAUGUCUGCCUCCCGGACGCAGGGAAGACUGUUCCAAAGUUUAGGAAUAAAAAAAGUUUAGAUAGGAAAAGGAUCUACCACCUGCACGAUUGGCUAAUUCUUACCCCUCCCCACACCUAAUCCUAACCCCUCCUCUAACACCUAAUCCUAAUCCUAGCCAUUGUGGGGAGGGAGGAUGCAUAAUCUGGUAGGGGUGCAUUUCUUGGCACAACACUGGAUGCCUGAGAGUGUAGUGCACGUGAAGGACUGUAAGUGUAAGACAAGAGAAGUUCACUCAGGUACUGAGGAGCUAAACCAUGUAAGGCUUUAUAGGUAAUAAGCAAGAAUGAGAUGCUUAAGGUAGCCAGUGCAAGGUUGACAGAAUCGUGCUAAUAUGCCCAUAUUUUGACAAUAUAGGCCCGGUUUCAUAGACAAGGUUUAGCCUAAAUCAGGACUAUGCCUUAGUUAGUUUAGGCUGUUUAAGUCGCUUUUAUUAAAAUGCCUUAGAAACAACAUUACCGAUGUGCAUCUUGAGACAAAACAAUGGCACUGACAUAUUUUAAGAUAUGUCAGGGCAAGAUAUUUUCAGUUAAGACAGCUCAAAAUUCCUUUUAGUCUGGGACUAGCCUUAAACCUUGUCUGUGAAACCGGGGCAUAAUGUAUUAAUAAAUUUGUGUUUCACAGCAGUGCACAAGAGUGCAGAUUAUUGUAUACAUACUGAAUGAUUUCAGUUUCACUCAUGCAAUAAAAACUUGAAGAAAAUAAAUAAAAAUGUCUUUUUAAAUAUAUACGUAACAGUUAAAAUAACCGCGCACACAGUUUUUCACAGUUUUGUUUUGUCGGAACCAAUGAGAUCGCAGCUUUCACUUUCUCGUUGACUACGCUGUGAAACCCCAAAGCAGGAAAUACGCAAAAAAAAUAUACAAAAAACAACAAAACAUUCAUGAUCAUGCGGAAAACUUGCACAUAUAUUAUUUUGCUACUGGUUCACAUCUCAGUGUCAGUCGAAGAGGAACAACAAUGGAUUAAAAUACCGUGUCAAGCCAAUGUUGAACAAGAUAUACAAUACAGGAAAGUUACCUGGUACAAGGUUGAAGAGGGCUCUGAUGUUCUGACUGGACUUGUUUUGAAGGACCUGAAUAAAAACAUUACUAUACUCUUUAAGCUUGCCAGUCAUUCCUAUGUGGUAGGGGAAGAUAACUCUCUUCAGUUCUCUAGGACUGCUAGGGAAGAUUGUGGCAUUUACAGAUGUACCCUGUGGCCACCGCUGGGCCAUUACAUACAGGAAAAAGAUUAUAAAUAUUAUUCAGCAGACUGCAUGAAACCUCAAAUUCAACCAGUGCUAAGCAGCAGAAACGAUGUACCAGUCAUGAAUCAUGUGAAAUUCUUCGCAGUCCCUGUGGUCAUGGUUUGUGCGUUUGUUAUGUUAUUUGUACACAUGACAAUGAGGAAUAGAGCAAAAGAGAAAGCUAAAACACUUGUGAAAACUAAUGAAAACAUUUAGAAUAAUUAACAGAAAAACACAGUACUAUAUACAGUACUUUCAGUUUACUGGAAUAAUGCUUUGAAAUGCAUUGAAAUGAAACUUAAAAAAAUUAUAUUUUAUGUCAUCAUAUACUCUGUCAGAAUGAAGAUAUACUUACUGAAAGUAUGUUUAAAAAGCCUUUACGUUUUGAAUUUACUUAAAUGUACUUAAUGCAAAUAAAAACAGAGCAAAAAAUGAUCUUCAAAGUGUUUUUACUGUUCGGCAAACCACAAGGGUUGACUGCAGCAAUCCUGCUACAACCCCACACCAAGCCACACGAAGAGUUUAGAACAAACCUUUCCAAUGAAGUGGGGGGUAUGCAAGUUCAGAAGAAGUGUUAGUAAGUGUGAAUGAGCAUGCAUGAUGAUGCGUUUGGUGGUCUGGGGUGAGUAAAUUUUCCUUACAUUUUAUUUAGUUUUUUCUUUUUUUAUGUACUUUUAAAUUAAUCAAUAUUAAAAGGUAAAAAAAGGCCUGAAACAUUUCAAUAUUACUUAGUAAUACAUUUGAAAGAAAAAGCAAUGGCAACUGGACGCAUUACAUGUAACAGAUCUAUUAUCACAACAUUGAUAUCUAUCACGUGAAAACCAACAGAGAAAAGUGUAUGUACUGUAUGUUCUUUGUAGUAUUAGAUUCAUUCAGUACUGAAUGUGUUUUUGAGUUUUAUUUGAAUUCUUUUAGCGUUUACCCUAAGCGUAGUACUAGCUGGCAAAGAGAAGCACACAUACAGGUACCUCACGGCAGCUUGCAAGGAUGAUAUCAACUUGCCAUGUGAUGCCCUCCAAAACAGUCAAAGAUUCACCUCUGUUACUUGGUACAAGGUCCACAAUGCAACCCACUCUUCAGUCCUCAUUAAUGAAAAAAAUAUAUUCACCCCAACUGACAAAAAACAGGAUUCUGUUUCACUGGGUAACAAUGCAUCUUUGAUCUUAUGGAAAGCUGCUCCUGCAAAUUCUGGGACCUUUGAGUGUUGCCUUCACGCAAAGGUUGGAUACAAAAAUAGUCACUCUUUCAUUACAAUAAAUAUUUCAGAUUGUAUGUCAACAACUUUACCUUACUUUGAGUUCUCCACCCAGUUCACUAAUAGCACUAAUUUAAUAAUGAAUAUGAGCACCCCAUUGACUCAUAUGGAUAAGAAUGCAGAUCUUUUUAUCAUGUUGGCUUACUUAGGAGUGGCUUUGAGUAAACUACUCCUCAGUGUCUUAUGUAUUUGGGUGCUACAUUAUAAAAAUAUUAGGAAGAGGGUUUUUUCAUGCUUUCUCUAAGAUGCACAGAGACCUACACAGCGUAAUAUACAACAGCUAGGUAUUCAGGGAGAACAGCGAACGUAGGAGAAGACAAAGAAAACACAUAUCAGACAACGUUUUGACACUUACAUUGUGUAAAUAACACACAUGUGACUUGUAAAAUAUGGUAAAACUGUAAAUAGACUUUUUAAAGCAUUUUAAAUUAGUCAUAUUUUGAUAUUUAAAUAAAUUAUAUUAACUCUAUAGCUUAAGCUAAGUUAUUAUUUUUUAAACGUUAUUGCACAUUUUACAUUUCCUAUUCACAAUUUGUUGCCUGUGUAUUAAGUUUUGAAUAUUUCUGAACGUUACUUUGAAUGCAUACUAUGAAUACAUUGUGGUCUGUAUUGUGUUUGCAUGUGCACUAAGUGAUAAUUUAAAGUGUAUCUUAUACUUGGCAAAGUUGGCAAAGUCUUUUUGACAAGAUUUCCAAUCGCAAAAAGCAAUUAAGUUGAUGGCCAACAGAUGGCAGUAAAUGAAUAGGCAUGACCUGCACGUCGAAAGAUUUAAUAGCGCCCUCUUGUGUUUAAUGCGUGUGGAGACAACAAACGUAAGAUUCAAAAGGUAAAUGGAAAAUUCGCACCUGUCUGCGUGUUGCAGUACCAACUUCUGGGUCAGAAAGGUUUUGUGUUCUACAGACUGAUGUAGAAAGACAUUUUUCCACUUAGUAAGACGUUUUUGAAACAUGGCCUUGGUUGCUAAAAGAGAUAAAGAAAAAGUCUUUCUGUAGCGUUGUUCUGUAUUCUGUAUCAGCAUUGUGUUUGAAGCCUCAGCAGCAAAGCUUGUGGGUUUGGUUCCCAGAGAACACACACACAAAUCUGUAGUUUAAAUGCACUGUUAGUCACUUUGGAUAAAAGCUCAUAUGCAUGUAAGUGCAUAAAUAUGAUGUAAACGAAAGUAGGAAAAUAGGAAGAAUUACUUUAUAUAUUUUUUGUUCUGAUUAACACAAAAGAAGACAUUUUGAAGAAUGUAGGAAAGCAAACAGUUCUGGGGCACUUUUGACUACCAUUGUAUUUUUUCCUACUAUGGUAAUCAACGGGGGGCAAAGUCUGUAUGGUUAUAAGCAUUCUUUCAAAUAUCUUUCUCUGUGUUCAUCAGAACAAAUACAUUUAUAUAGAUUUGGAACAACUCGAAGGUGAGUAAAUGAUGACAGAAUCUUCAUUUUUGGGUGAAGUAUCCCUUUAAAGGAGAGUUCAUGAUCACGUUGUGAGAGUUUUCUGUCUUUCAGACAUGGGGUCCCGAGUGUAGAGGGAAAAUAAUGAUUCAUUGAUUAUUCAUCUGCAUUCUCUGAUGUUCUUUGUCCUGUUGAGAAGUUCUGAGAGCACAGUCAUUGGAUUGCCAGCUUGUGUAUUCAGUAAUGUUGCUGAUGUGUGUACAAAAUUAAUGACUUUACCCCUGCUAUCCAAUGGAGGUGGUAUUGUUUGUGUAUGUGUUGGGGGAUUAAAGCUAUAAAUGCAAAACAAUAUAGCCGUAAUUAUAUAUUAUUAUGCCAUUCUUGGCUCUUGGGGUAAUUAGUCUUGCAUUUACUAAUGAGUUUGUACAAAAGCAUAAGAUGCAUAUUAUACAUGCAAAACUUUAACACAUUACAUAAAUAAUUGGAUGUAACAUGCUCAUUUUCUAUGGUCUCUUUGCCUUCUCUACCUGGUCUUGUGAUAGUUUAACUGGUAGAGCAUCUCUCUGGCAAGGUGAACAUAUGUUGAUAAAAUGUAUUCCAUGAAUUCACUGUGAUCUUACAGUACUGACAAGGAUCUUUAGGGCUUUAUGCAAGAG